CUUCCUGCGACGCACAUUACAUUAGGUGAGUUCUACUGAGCGGACGAUGUGAUAAUGUGAUCAACACCCAUGGCCCUGGCAGGACAAGGGCUCCCCGGCCCUGGGCGCAGCUGCCAGCCAGCCCGGCUCCCAGCAGGAAGUGGGGACAGGGCCCGCAGACAGACCUGGACUUUGGAAUCAAACAAAGGCUCUGACUCCGGCCCCACCCUCGGUAAACUGUCCCCGCCCAAGCCGCUUCCUGCCUGCAGGGCACAGGGCGGCACAGGGCGGCUCAGUGCUUAUCACGCCGACUCCGAAACAGGACGUCCCUGCCCAGAGUUCCUGGGACGGAGAGCAGAUACCAGGCAGGGUGUGGACGCCCGGGCCAGCGGGUUAUCACAUCUCAGGCUCCACCUGUCCUGGGUGCGUUCCUGCUCCGGACGAAGGGGACAGGAGGCAGGUGAUGGCCGAGCGGAACAGAAGGCUUCGCCCAGGAGGGGACAGCGGGACAGCCAGGCUGACACCAGUGUCCACGCGAGGGGCUGUGAGGACGCCCAGGUCAGGUGUCCCUCAUCUGUGCACGCUCACCACGCCGCCUCGAGGCCACGCCGCUGCGAGCACCAGAGACUGUCCCCUCCUCCUGCACAGGCCCACAUGGCCGCCCUCCUGAGCCUAUGAACACGGCCCACACAGCUGCCCUCCUGAGCCCGUGAACACGGCCCACACAGCUGCCAGGCCCCUCCUGAGCCCAUGAACACGGCCCACACAGCUGCCCUCCUGAGCCCAUGAACACGGCCCACACAGCUGCCCUCCUGAGCCUGUGAACACGGCCCCACACAGCCGGCGGGCCCCUGCACAUGGAGCAACUACACCAGGGCAGCAGGAGGACUGGUGGCUGACAUGGGCUGGAAGAUGAGUUUAAUAAUAAAAUAUUACGUACUGGAACCGA